rnacentral:rRNA from 1 species
GGCCAGACUCCUACGGGAGGCAGCAGUGGGGAAUAUUGCACAAUGGGGGAAACCCUGAUGCAGCGACGCCGCGUGAGCGAUGAAGUAUUUCGGUAUGUAAAGCUCUAUCAGCAGGGAAGAAAAUGACGGUACCUGACUAAGAAGCCCCGGCUAACUACGUGCCAGCAGCCGCGGUAAUACGUAGGGGGCAAGCGUUAUCCGGAUUUACUGGGUGUAAAGGGAGCGUAGACGGCGAUGCAAGCCAGAUGUGAAAGCCCGGGGCUCAACCCCGGGACUGCAUUGGAAACUGUCGGACUAGAGUGUCGGAGAGGCAAGUGGAAUUCCUAGUGUAGCGGUGAAAUGCGUAGAUAUUAGGAGGAACACCAGUGGCGAAGGCGGCUUGCUGGACGAUGACUGACGUUGAGGCUCGAAAGCGUGGGGAGCAAACAGGAUUAGAUACCCUAGUACG